AUCAUUUCACUGUUCUCUGCAGCAAUUUAGCAUUCAAGGAUGGCAACUAGAUCGGCAAAUAUGAAAGGUUUCUUCAAGCAGAAGAAGAAUACAAAAUCCACUUCCAGUAAGAAGGGCUCUUCCAAAAGAUCACCAACUAAUGCCUCAACUGUUGGUUCUAAUGUGACUCAACCGCCUGCCUCGUAUCCCAUGGCUCCAUUGACCUGAAAGAUGAUCACGACCAAGCAGAAGAAGUGCUGAGACAGUUUGACAUGAACAUGGCUUACGGACCAUGUCUUGGAAUGACUCGACCGUCUCGCUGGGAGCGUGCUCAGAAACUCGGUUUGAACUGUCCGACCGAAGUCGAGAUCCUAUUGAAAGGUGGUAGAGCUAGUUCUGAGUGUCUGUGGGACGGACGUGUCUAGAACUUUAGUAGGCAUCCUCAAUUUUCAUUCUUUCCUGUUUGUAAUAUGUUGUAGACUCUCAAACGGUACCUUUAGUAGGCAUCCUCAGUUUUCGGUGCACCCUGCUGCGCGCUUCUGUCUCCACAAUUACAACGGCCAGUUGAUUUAUAUUUAUGAUAAA